rnacentral:rRNA from 2 species
AAAUUGAAGAGUUUGAUCAUGGCUCAGAUUGAACGCUGGCGGCAGGCCUAACACAUGCAAGUCGAACGGUAACAGGAAGCGCUUGCUGCUUCGCUGACGAGUGGCGGACGGGUGAGUAAUGUCUGGGAAACUGCCUGAUGGAGGGGGAUAACUACUGGAAACGGUAGCUAAUACCGCAUAACGUCGCAAGACCAAAGAGGGGGACCUUCGGGCCUCUUGCCAUCGGAUGUGCCCAGAUGGGAUUAGCUUGUUGGUGGGG